rnacentral:rRNA from 1 species
UACGUAGGGGGCAAGCGUUAUCCGGAUUUACUGGGUGUAAAGGGGGCGCAGACGGCGAUGCAAGCCAGGAGUGAAAGCCCGGGGCCCAACCCCGGGACUGCACUGGAAACUGCCGGGCUGGAGUGUCGGAGGGGCAGGCGGAAUUCCUAGUGUAGCGGUGAAAUGCGUAGAUAUUAGGAGGAACACCGGUGGCGAAGGCGGCCUGCUGGACGACGACUGACGCUGAGGCUCGAAAGCGUGGGGAGCAAACAGG